UACGUAGGUGGCAAGCGUUGUCCGGAUUUAUUGGGCUUAAAGGGUGCGUAGGCGGCCCUGUAAGUCAGUGGUGAAAUGCUCUAGCUUAACUAGAGAGGUGCCAAUGAUACUGCAGGGCUUGAGUACAGAUGAGGUAGGCGGAAUUGACGGUGUAGCGGUGAAAUGCAUAGAUAUCGUCAAGAACACCGAUAGCGAAGGCAGCUUACUGGGCUGUAACUGACGCUGAUGCACGAAAGUGUGGGGAUCAAACAGG
rnacentral:rRNA from 1 species